rnacentral:rRNA from 1 species
CCUACGGGAGGCAGCAGUGAGGAAUAUUGGUCAAUGGACGAGAGUCUGAACCAGCCAAGUAGCGUGAAGGAUGACUGCCCUAUGGGUUGUAAACUUCUUUUAUAUGGGAAUAAAACAGGGUAUGCAUACCCUCUUGUAUGUACCAUAUGAAUAAUGAUCGGCUAAGUCCGUUCCAGCAGCCGCGGUAAUACGGAGGAUCCGAGCGUUAUCCGGAUUUAUUGGGUUUAAAGGGAGCGUAGGUGGAUUGUUAAGUCAGUUGUGAAAGUUUGUGGCUCAACCGUAAAAUUGCAGUUGAAACUGGCAGUCUUGAGUACAGUAGAGGUGGGCGGAAUUCGUGGUGUAGCGGUGAAAUGCUUAGAUAUCACGAAGAACUCCGAUUGCGAAGGCAGCUUACUGGACUGCAACUGACACUGAUGCUCGAAAGUGUGGGUAUCAAACAGGAUUAGAUACCCUUGUAGUC